GGGUUGUGAGGUUAAGCGACUAAGCGUACACGGUGGAUGCCCUGGCAGUCAGAGGCGAUGAAGGACGUGCUAAUCUGCGAUAAGCGUCGGUAAGGUGAUAUGAACCGUUAUAACCGGCGAUUUCCGAAUGGGGAAACCCAGUGUGUUUCGACACACUAUCAUUAACUGAAUCCAUAGGUUAAUGAGGCGAACCGGGGGAACUGAAACAUCUAAGUACCCCGAGGAAAAGAAAUCAACCGAGAUUCCCCCAGUAGCGGCGAGCGAACGGGGAGCAGCCCAGAGCCUGAAUCAGUGUGUGUGUUAGUGGAAGCGUCUGGAAAGGCGCGCGAUACAGGGUGACAGCCCCGUACACAAAAAUGCACAUGCUGUGAGCUCGAUGAGUAGGGCGGGACACGUGGUAUCCUGUCUGAAUAUGGGGGGACCAUCCUCCAAGGCUAAAUACUCCUGACUGACCGAUAGUGAACCAGUACCGUGAGGGAAAGGCGAAAAGAACCCCGGCGAGGGGAGUGAAAAAGAACCUGAAACCGUGUACGUACAAGCAGUGGGAGCACAGAGCAAUCUGUGUGACUGCGUACCUUUUGUAUAAUGGGUCAGCGACUUAUAUUCUGUAGCAAGGUUAACCGAAUAGGGGAGCCGAAGGGAAACCGAGUCUUAACUGGGCGUUAAGUUGCAGGGUAUAGACCCGAAACCCGGUGAUCUAGCCAUGGGCAGGUUGAAGGUUGGGUAACACUAACUGGAGGACCGAACCGACUAAUGUUGAAAAAUUAGCGGAUGACUUGUGGCUGGGGGUGAAAGGCCAAUCAAACCGGGAGAUAGCUGGUUCUCCCCGAAAGCUAUUUAGGUAGCGCCUCGUGAAUUCAUCUCCGGGGGUAGAGCACUGUUUCGGCAAGGGGGUCAUCCCGACUUACCAACCCGAUGCAAACUGCGAAUACCGGAGAAUGUUAUCACGGGAGACACACGGCGGGUGCUAACGUCCGUCGUGAAGAGGGAAACAACCCAGACCGCCAGCUAAGGUCCCAAAGUCAUGGUUAAGUGGGAAACGAUGUGGGAAGGCCCAGACAGCCAGGAUGUUGGCUUAGAAGCAGCCAUCAUUUAAAGAAAGCGUAAUAGCUCACUGGUCGAGUCGGCCUGCGCGGAAGAUGUAACGGGGCUAAACCAUGCACCGAAGCUGCGGCAGCGACGCUUAUGCGUUGUUGGGUAGGGGAGCGUUCUGUAAGCCUGCGAAGGUGUGCUGUGAGGCAUGCUGGAGGUAUCAGAAGUGCGAAUGCUGACAUAAGUAACGAUAAAGCGGGUGAAAAGCCCGCUCGCCGGAAGACCAAGGGUUCCUGUCCAACGUUAAUCGGGGCAGGGUGAGUCGACCCCUAAGGCGAGGCCGAAAGGCGUAGUCGAUGGGAAACAGGUUAAUAUUCCUGUACUUGGUGUUACUGCGAAGGGGGGACGGAGAAGGCUAUGUUGGCCGGGCGACGGUUGUCCCGGUUUAAGCGUGUAGGCUGGUUUUCCAGGCAAAUCCGGAAAAUCAAGGCUGAGGCGUGAUGACGAGGCACUACGGUGCUGAAGCAACAAAUGCCCUGCUUCCAGGAAAAGCCUCUAAGCAUCAGGUAACAUCAAAUCGUACCCCAAACCGACACAGGUGGUCAGGUAGAGAAUACCAAGGCGCUUGAGAGAACUCGGGUGAAGGAACUAGGCAAAAUGGUGCCGUAACUUCGGGAGAAGGCACGCUGAUAUGUAGGUGAAGCGACUUGCUCGUGGAGCUGAAAUCAGUCGAAGAUACCAGCUGGCUGCAACUGUUUAUUAAAAACACAGCACUGUGCAAACACGAAAGUGGACGUAUACGGUGUGACGCCUGCCCGGUGCCGGAAGGUUAAUUGAUGGGGUUAGCGCAAGCGAAGCUCUUGAUCGAAGCCCCGGUAAACGGCGGCCGUAACUAUAACGGUCCUAAGGUAGCGAAAUUCCUUGUCGGGUAAGUUCCGACCUGCACGAAUGGCGUAAUGAUGGCCAGGCUGUCUCCACCCGAGACUCAGUGAAAUUGAACUCGCUGUGAAGAUGCAGUGUACCCGCGGCAAGACGGAAAGACCCCGUGAACCUUUACUAUAGCUUGACACUGAACAUUGAGCCUUGAUGUGUAGGAUAGGUGGGAGGCUUUGAAGUGUGGACGCCAGUCUGCAUGGAGCCGACCUUGAAAUACCACCCUUUAAUGUUUGAUGUUCUAACGUUGACCCGUAAUCCGGGUUGCGGACAGUGUCUGGUGGGUAGUUUGACUGGGGCGGUCUCCUCCUAAAGAGUAACGGAGGAGCACGAAGGUUGGCUAAUCCUGGUCGGACAUCAGGAGGUUAGUGCAAUGGCAUAAGCCAGCUUGACUGCGAGCGUGACGGCGCGAGCAGGUGCGAAAGCAGGUCAUAGUGAUCCGGUGGUUCUGAAUGGAAGGGCCAUCGCUCAACGGAUAAAAGGUACUCCGGGGAUAACAGGCUGAUACCGCCCAAGAGUUCAUAUCGACGGCGGUGUUUGGCACCUCGAUGUCGGCUCAUCACAUCCUGGGGCUGAAGUAGGUCCCAAGGGUAUGGCUGUUCGCCAUUUAAAGUGGUACGCGAGCUGGGUUUAGAACGUCGUGAGACAGUUCGGUCCCUAUCUGCCGUGGGCGCUGGAGAACUGAGGGGGGCUGCUCCUAGUACGAGAGGACCGGAGUGGACGCAUCACUGGUGUUCGGGUUGUCAUGCCAAUGGCACUGCCCGGUAGCUAAAUGCGGAAGAGAUAAGUGCUGAAAGCAUCUAAGCACGAAACUUGCCCCGAGAUGAGUUCUCCCUGACUCCUUGAGAGUCCUGAAGGAACGUUGAAGACGACGACGUUGAUAGGCCGGGUGUGUAAGCGCAGCGAUGCGUUGAGCUAACCGGUACUAAUGAACCGUGAGGCUUAACCUUACAACGCCGAAGCUGUU
rnacentral:rRNA from 1 species